rnacentral:rRNA from 1 species
GGGUCAGUAGGUUGGUCGUGCCACCGGUACGUACUGGUCUCACUGAUUCCUCCCUCCUGAAGAACCGUAAUGCCAUUAAUUUGGUGUUGCGGGGAAACAGGACUGUUACUUUGAAAAAAUUAGAGUGUUUAAAGCAAGCUAACGCUUGAAUACAUAGCAUGGAAUAAUGAAAUAGGACGAUCGAUCCUAUUUUGUUGGUUUCUAGGAUUGACGUA